CACUUCUGCGGGCCUGGCCAGCGAGCCGGCCGGCAUCAGGGCGAUCAGCUGAUCUCUGGAGUAAACAGUCCGUGCGUGUAGGAGAUGUGCCGCGGUCCCGUUCCAUGAUAAAAGUAACAGUUCCACGGCCACCAGAAGAACAAAAACUCUCUCAAUCCACAUGAUUGAGUAAGAGAUAGAAAACGGAGGAAAAUACAAGUCAGAAAAAAAAAGAAUACGUAAGAAAAAAGAGCUAAACUAAGAGAAAAGCAGGAGCGACUGUAACAGGCUGCACGCUGGUUGGCGCAUGCGCACUAACUAAAAUGCAGCAGGCUGUAAAUGUCACCGAAGGGGGCGGGCUGCAUCUCUCCUGUAAAGUGGAUGGGGUUCAAGGUCAGCUCUCUGUCACCUGGCAACACAAACCAACACCAAUGGCCUUGUUCACCAAGAUCAUCAGUAUAAGUCGGGAGGGUGUUACAGAGAUAGCAGAGGAGUUCAUGAGUCGCAAAGUGAGGGUGAUGCGUCCAGCAGCUGAUCCUUGAGCUUGAUGAGGUCAAAAUGUCCUGUGUACCCGUGUCUGGGCAGAAACCCAAUAGCAAGACUCACAGCCAGGCACAAACUACCACUGUAACAGUGAUUUUUAUAGAAAACAGUCUCUCUAUUCCAAAGGAGAAAGCAGAGAUAAAGCAGAGGAACAAGAAAGCAAAAUUUCAUCAUCCCCUGCAACAUCAACCAACAACCCAGCCAUGAAUCCAAGUUGAGGUCACAUGGUUUUGGCAGAAAAAAAUCAGAAACUAAACAGCGCCCCGUAUUCACAGUUUACAGGAACACAACUCUACAAGACAGGUUUGGGGAGAAUGUUCGCCUGAGAUACGACCACCCUGACCCCAGAUAAUUCAGCCUCACGUUCUUGAACCUUGGUCCUGAAAAUAGUGGUCUGUAUUUCUGUGAGGUAGAGGAGUGGCUGCCUUUUCUGUCUCAUGGGUGGAGUUGCAGUAGAAAAGUCAGUUAAUUUAAAUGUCAGUGUUCUCACAGAAGGCAAUGCUAAUCACAUCUCUGAAUGCAACAUGAGUACCUAUAAAAUAACUAUUACAAUUCUCAUCGUCAUAGUCAUGGCCAUAUUGCUACUGAUGCUCAAGAUGUGCAGAAAUAAAGGCUCAAAAGGAAAGAAGUCAACUCCAUCUCGCUGGGGUGAAUCGCUCCCUUUGAACACCAAUCAAGGUGGAGACGACUGAACAGCAGAGACAUUCUUUCUAUGUGAUGCAAUAUAUGCAAAAGAAUUUAAUAGCUUAUCUUCUUUUAACUCAUAUUUUCCAAUUAAAUCACUCUUGUUUCAAUUUAUCUGUUCAGAGCAUUUCAUGGAAUAGCUCUACCAGUUUACAGUGCAGCUGGGAAUAAUUUUAAAGAAUAAAGUCAUACCGUGGUAAACCAAUGUGCCAAAAUAAAAAUGUGUUGCUCUGCAAAUACUCACAGACUGCAAUGUACUGUAUAUAUUUGCCUAUAAAUGCUAGUGUGGAUCCGAAUCUCUGGACUUGCACAAAACUGAAUAAAUCCAAUCAAAUUUUUGAUGCUUUUCCUCCAUCUGUCUCACACUCUCCUUCUUUCUCUCCUCCCUUUUCCUGACUCUUUUUUUUUUCCUUCAUCAGCCCCAUAAAUCUUUAACACCCCAUCUGUUUUAGAGACUGAAAUAGAAUCUACUUAUUGCUUUCACUUUAGAAGAAACAACUGCAGACAUCUGAUUACUGUCAUACUGAGGAAGGC
ensembl:lncRNA